rnacentral:lncRNA from 1 species
ACGGUCCGUGACACAUAAUUAUGCUGAUAAUGUCACAUUCAUAUGUUCUCAGUGGACGACUAUCUCCCAAACAUCAACAAGAAGGCUUAAAUCUCUCCCCGUCCCUUUUCUUUGACAAUCAGAAGAAAUGAGAGAACAUGUUACAAUCAAUCUACCGUUCUUUACCCGCCAAGGUCUUCUCCUGCACAGAUCAUGGAGCAAUAAUAAGGACGUUGUUACCGUUCUUGACCUGCCAAGGUCUUCUCCUGAACAUAUCACGGAGCAACAAUAAGGACGUGAGCCUACCUGAUAGUAGUUGUAGAAUUGCAGCAUGCCCUCUUCACAGCAACGUGCCUUUCUCCAGGAAAUCGAGUAUGUAUGAAUCUUGCUGCACUAGCAUGUAUAGUGAUGAAAAGAAUUGUUGGUCUCUGCAUCGUUCUCUAUUCUCGGCAACAUCAUCCAUAAAUUCAUAUUCAUUCCCGGGGCUGGUGUACCUAGUGUCAAAAGAAAAUAAAUUAUUUAGACUAAGAAUCUCAAACCUCUAGGCAUAGCUUUUCGGAAACAGUAAAAAUAAAGAGGAAGAUUUCAUACAAGUAAUAUGCUGGAACUCACUUGGAAAUAAAGAACUCUGAAACCAAUGAAAAUAAUGAAUGGGUACAAAAAUAGAUUCAGAAAAUGUUUAAUUUCUACAAACAGAAGCCGUGAAAAUAAUGAAUGGGUACAAAAAUAGAUUCAGAAAAUGUUUAUAUUUCUACAAACAGAAGCCGUGUCCUGCUAGUUUAAUGUGAAAGGCUCCAAUAAUCCCAACUACUACAAGUUCAUCUGCAUCACAAUGAUCCAAGUGCCGACUACUGAAUACUCCCUACUUUUCUGAAAACAUUGUGGAUGCACUUCAUUACGAUCCAUGUGAAUACACUGAUACUGCAUUUAAAUACGGAGUAAUAACCAAUUUGGGACGGCACCUGGUCAAUCAAUGUCAGACAGUACCUCUAGAGGUUUCAAAGUACUGAAACCUGCACAUCUGUAC